AAAAUGAGAGUUUGAUCCUGGCUCAGGACGAACGCUGGCGGCGUGCCUAAUACAUGCAAGUCGAGCGAGCAAUUUUAACGGAAUACUUCGGUAGGAAGUUAAGAGCGCGAGCGGCGGAUGGGUGAGUAACACGUGGGCAACCUGCCCUUUAGCUUGGGAUACCACUUGGAAACAGGUGCUAAUACCAAAUAAGAAGCGAGAGCGCAUGCUCAAGCAGUAAAAGGCGGCUUUCGAGCUGUCACUAAAGGAUGGGCCCGCGGUGCAUUAGCUAGUUGGUAAGGUAACGGCCUACCAAGGCGAUGAUGCAUAGCCGAGUUGAGAGACUGACCGGCCACAUUGGGACUGAGACACGGCCCAAACUCCUACGGGAGGCAGCAGUAGGGAAUCUUCCACAAUGGACGCAAGUCUGAUG
rnacentral:rRNA from 1 species